ACAAUAAGCAAAAUAAGGGCGUAUGGGGGAUGCCUAGGCUCUCAGAGGCGAAGAAGGACGUGAUAAGCUGCGAAAAGCUGCGGGGAUUGGCACAUACGAAUUGAUCCGCAGAUAUCCCAAUGGGGCAACCCACUAUGUUGAAGACAUAGUAUCCAAUAGGAGGCGAACCCGCUGAACUGAAACAUCUAAGUAGGCGGAGGAGAAGAAAACAAAAGUGAUUGCGUAAGUAGUGGCGAGCGAAAGCGCAUUAGCCCAAACCAGUGUUGUUACGGCAAUACUGGGGUUGUAGGACCACAAUAUUUCUUGUAAACCGAAUUAGAAUAACCUGGAAAGGUUAACCACAGAGGGUGAUAGUCCCGUAUAAGUAAGGAAUAUAAAGGAUAGUGGUAUCCUGAGUAGGGCGGGGCACGUGAAACCCUGUCUGAAUCUGGCGGGACCAUCCGCUAAGGCUAAAUACUCCUGAGAGACCGAUAGUGAACCAGUACUGUGAAGGAAAGGUGAAAAGAACCGUGAAUAACGGAGUGAAAUAGAACCUGAAACCAUACGCCUACAAGCGGUCGGAGCAGCAAAAGCUGUGACGGCGUGCCUUUUGCAUAAUGAGCCUACGAGUUAACGUUGCUGGCAAGGUUAAGCACUUCAGGUGCGGAUCCGUAGCGAAAGCGAGUCUGAAUAGGGCGCUUGAGUCAGUAAUGUUAGACGCGAAACCGUGUGAUCUACCCAUGGGCAGGAUGAAGCUGUGGUAACACAUAGUGGAGGUCCGAACCGGUUGACGUUGAAAAGUCUUCGGAUGACCUGUGGGUAAUAGCUCGUACUCCCCGAAAUGCAUUUAGGUGCAGCGCAGUGGUAGAGUUAUAUAGAGGUAGAGCUACUGAUUGGAUGCGGGGGCUUCACCGCCUACCAAUUCCUGACAAACUCCGAAUGCUAUAUAAUAUACACAGCAGUGAGGGCUGGGGUGCUAAGGUCCCAGUCCGAGAGGGAAAGAACCCAGACCAUCAGCUAAGGUCCCCAAAUGUAUACUAAGUUGAUCAAACGCGGUUUGAUUGCAUCGACAGCUAGGAUGUUGGCUUGGAAGCAGCCAUUCAUUUAAAGAGUGCGUAACAGCUCACUAGUCGAGCGAUCGAGCAUGGAUAAUAAUCGGGCAUAAGUAUACUACCGAAGCUAUGGAUUUGACAAAAGUCAAGUGGUAGGGGAGCAUUCUAACAUCGUAGAAGGGAUUCCGUGAGGAUUUCUGGAGAGGUUAGAAAAGAAAAUGUAGGCAUAAGUAACGAUAAGGGGUGCGAGAAACACCCCCGCCGUAAAACUAAGGUUUCCGCAGCUAUGCUAAUCAGCUGCGGGUUAGUCGGGACCCUGUCUCUUAUACACAUCUCCGAGCCCACGAGACCGUAACCGGUCKYCUGCRSYGGGAGAUGKGUAUAAGAGACAGGAAUAGUUCGUUAAAGCACCUAGCUAUAGGCCCGGUAGGCAAAUCCGCUGGGACUGGUGAAAUGCGAUAGUACGAUGUGUAUAAGAGACAGGGAUAGUGUACCUAAAGGCUGCCAAGAAAACCUUCUAAACAUAGAUUAUAAGUACCCGUACCGUAAACCGACACAGGUAGUUGAGGAGAGUAUCCUAAGGCGCUCGAGAGAUUCAUGGCUAAGGAAUUAGGCAAAAUAGACCUGAGGUCGCCAGCGCAAGCUGGCCGCAGUGAAAAGGUCCAGGCGACUGUUUAUCAAAAACACAGGGCUCUGCCAAAUCGUAAGAUGAAGUAUAGGGCCUGACAGUGCUGGAAGGUUAAGAGGAGAUGUUAUGAGCAAUCAGAAGCAUUGAAUUGAAGCCCCAGUAAACGGCGGCCGUAACUAUAACGGUCCUAAGGUAGCGAAAUUCCUUGUCGGGUAAGUUCCGACCUGCACGAAUGGUGUAACGAUCUGGACACUGUCUCAGCCAUGAGCUCGGUGAAAUUGUAGUAUCGGUGAAGAUGCCGAUUACCCGCAGUGGGACGAAAAGACCCUGUGCACCUUUACUAUAGCUUAGUAUUGACCUUGGAUAAGUGAUGUGUAGGAUAGGUGGGAGACUGUGAAAUGGCGUCGCUAGGCGUUGUGGAGUCAUUGUUGAAAUACCACCCUUUGCUUAUCUGAGGCCUAACUCCAUAUUGUGGAGGACAUUGCUUGGUGGGUAGUUUGACUGGGGUGGUCGCCUCCAAAAGAGUAACGGAGGCUUCUAAAGGUUCCCUCAGCACGCUUGGUAACCGUGCGUAGAGUGCAAUGGCAUAAGGGAGCUUGACUGAGAGACAUACAGGUCGAUCAGGUACGAAAGUAGAGCAUAGUGAUCCGGUGGUUCCGCAUGGAAGGGCCAUCGCUCAAAGGAUAAAAGGUACGCCGGGGAUAACAGGCUGAUCUCCCCCAAGAGCUCAUAUCGACGGGGGGGUUUGGCACCUCGAUGUCGGCUCGUCACAUCCUGGGGCUGGAGAAGGUCCCAAGGGUUGGGCUGUUCGCCCAUUAAAGUGGCACGCGAGCUGGGUUCAGAACGUCGUGAGACAGUUCGGUCUCUAUCUACUGUGGGCGUUAGAAAUUUGAGUGGAUCUGACUCUAGUACGAGAGGACCGAGUUGGACCAACCGCUGGUGUAUCUGUUGUUCCGCCAGGAGCACCGCAGAGUAGCUACGUUGGGAAGGGAUAAGCGCUGAAAGCAUAUAAGCGCGAAACCCACCACAAGAUGAGAUUUCUUUUAAGGGUCGUGGAAGAUGACCACGUUGAUAGGCUAUAGAUGUAAAGGCAGUAAUGUCACAGUCAAGUAGUACUAAUAACCCGUAAGCUUAUUGUA
rnacentral:rRNA from 1 species